UUAUUAUUGACUAUUGUCUAUAUACUUUAAUAAUUUGUGACCAGAAAACUUAAGUGUUGGAAUAAAAUAUCUAUCACUACACUUGUUUUCUGUAAAUAAAUCGUAAGUCAAACAAAAACAUUAUUUCACCUCUAAAGAAACAAAAAAAUACAAUGUAUCAUUGGUCCUACUUCAAAAUACAACACAUGUAAAUUUAUACAGUUAUACUUGAAUGAAAGGGGUGUUAGAUUAAAGUCAAUUAAUUCCAAAUAUUAUUGUUUUAUAAAAAUGUUUUCCACUUUUUCAUCCUUUUAUAAAAAUGUUUUCUACUUUUUCAUCCUUUUAUAAAAAUGUUUUCCACUUUUUCAUCCAUGCAAACUAAGGUUACAAUAUUAAAUAUUAAAGACAUUGUUUGCAUGUAGUUAAUAGUUAUUUUAAACGACCUUUGGUGUUUGAGUUAUAUAAAUAAGUUUCAUAAAUAUCAUCUUUAAAUUGUAUAAUACUGUGCAGACAUGGAUAGUAAUAAUAC
rnacentral:lncRNA from 1 species